UCAAUACAUACAUCUUCUUAAAAAUCUAACUACAAAAUUAUUUUCUAGCUUCGUGUUCAUUUCAAAAAUACAUGUACCAAAUCAACCUCCAUUGCUAUUCCCAACAGCAUCACAACAGGAUCAGGAACACAAAGUGUAUGGUUAGCAGUAGAUGAAGAUGGUCACCUAGCCCUUUAGUUUGGUUUUUAAAUCAAGGACUUCAUAUGCCAGCAGCAACUCAACAGCUCACACACACACACAUUUCAUCUUCAAACACAUAAAACUAAAUGCUAAAUUAAUACCUACUAUCAAUUAUAGUUUAUGAUCUAUAAUUUAUAAUGUUUAAUAGUUCACUUCUCAUACCAAAAUAAAAUUAAUUUUUAAAAAUGAUAAAUAAUGAAUUUUAAUUAUGAUCAAUAUAUUAUAUAGAUAUAUAACAGAAAACAGCCUAAAAAACCUAAGAACCAUUUAAUAUUAAUGGUCAUAUUAUACACAUAUUUCGUUAUAGAAAACAAUGCAGACAGUUUGAAAAAAAAACUAUUUUAAAAAAAAAAAGCUUACAUUGUCUGGAAGAUUAUUUCCGGUCAUAUUAAGGCAAAUAUGGCUUGGUUACAACAUCAUCAUUAUGCAUUUCAUAGUAAAAAAAAAACAAAAGUUUCAAGCACAAAGUAAGUGAUAACAACAUGAUUAAAACAAUAUAGUGAUAUGAGUGCUGUUUUAGUGUCCCAAAUAUGUUACAGGUCCUACAACUAAAUCACUCAUACUCUUAUCACACAUUCUCAUUUAUCUAAAAAUUUACAAUCUGAAAGAAGAAAUAGAAUAUUAUUAAAUAUUUUUUUAUUAGAAAAAAAUAACAAAAUAAAAUAAAUAUGAAAAAAAACAAACAGUUGGCACUUGUUAGUUAUCAUGUGUAACUAAGAACUAAAAAAAUGUGACAGACAGCUAAGAACUUCACAGUUGAAGGCAGUAGGCACUGCUGAAAAAUAACCUGCAAUCCAUCAUGCU